UAAGCGGAGGAAAAGAAACUAACAGGGAUUCCCCUAGUAACUGCGAGUGAAGCGGGAAAAGCUCAAAUUUAAAAUCUGGUGGCCUUUGGUCAUCCGAGUUGUAAUUUAGAGAAGCGUCUUCCGCGCUGGACCAUGCACAAGUCUCCUGGAAUGGAGCGUCAUAGAGGGUGAGAAUCCCGUCUUUGGCAUGGAUGCACCAGGGCUUCUGUGAUGCGCUCUCGAAGAGUCGAGUUGUUUGGGAAUGCAGCUCAAAAUGGGUGGUGAACUCCAUCUAAAGCUAAAUAUUGGCGAGAGACCGAUAGCGAACAAGUACCGUGAGGGAAAGAUGAAAAGCACUUUGGAAAGAGAGUGAAACAGUACGUGAAAUUGUUGAAAGGGAAACGCUUGAAGUCAGUCGCGUCGACCGAGACUCAGCCUCGCCUUGGCAUGGUGUACGUCUCGGGCGACGGGUCAGCAUCAAUUUUGCCCCUCGGAUAAUGACAAGGGAAAGGUAGCACCUUUAUGGGUGUGUUAUAGUCUCCUGUCGCAUGCGAGGGUUGGGAUUGAGGAACUCAGCACGCGCCUUUUGGCGUCGGGGCUUCGGCCUACGUACGUGCUUAGGAUGCUGGCAUAAUGGCUUUAAACGACC
rnacentral:rRNA from 1 species